rnacentral:tRNA from 1 species
UCCCUGGUGGUCUAGUGGUUAGGAUUUGGCACUUUCACCUCUGUAGCCCAGGUUCAAUCCCUGGUUUGGGAA